GUUUGAUCAUGGCUCAGAUUGAACGCUGGCGGCAGGCCUAACACAUGCAAGUCGAGCGGUAGAGAGAAGCUUGCUUCUCUUGAGAGCGGCGGACGGGUGAGUAAUGCCUAGGAAUCUGCCUGGUAGUGGGGGAUAACGCUCGGAAACGGACGCUAAUACCGCAUACGUCCUACGGGAGAAAGCAGGGGACCUUCGGGCCUUGCGCUAUCAGAUGAGCCUAGGUCGGAUUAGCUAGUUGGUGAGGUAAUGGCUCACCAAGGCGACGAUCCGUAACUGGUCUGAGAGGAUGAUCAGUCACACUGGAACUGAGACACGGUCCAGACUCCUACGGGAGGCAGCAGUGGGGAAUAUUGGACAAUGGGCGAAAGCCUGAUCCAGCCAUGCCGCGUGUGUGAAGAAGGUCUUCGGAUUGUAAAGCACUUUAAGUUGGGAGGAAGGGCAUUAACCUAAUACGUUAGUGUUUUGACGUUACCGACAGAAUAAGCACCGGCUAACUCUGUGCCAGCAGCCGCGGUAAUACAGAGGGUGCAAGCGUUAAUCGGAAUUACUGGGCGUAAAGCGCGCGUAGGUGGUUCGUUAAGUUGGAUGUGAAAUCCCCGGGCUCAACCUGGGAACUGCAUUCAAAACUGACGAGCUAGAGUAUGGUAGAGGGUGGUGGAAUUUCCUGUGUAGCGGUGAAAUGCUUAGAUAUUACACAGAACACCGAUUGCGAAGGCAGCUCACAAAACUGUAACUGACGCUGAGGCACGAAAGCGUGGGGAGUGAACAGGAUUAGAUACCCUGGUAAUCCACGCCUUAAACGAUGAUUACUCGAUGUGUGCAAUACACCGUACGCGUCCUAGCGAAAGCGUUAAGUAAUCCACCUGGGGAGUACGAUCGCAAGGUUGAAACUCAAAGGAAUUGACGGGGGCCCGCACAAGCGGAGGAGCAUGUGGUUUAAUUCGAUGAUACGCGAGGAACCUUACCUGGGCUUGAAAGUUAGUGACCGGUGGUGAAAGCCACUUUUCCGCAAGGACACGAAACUAGGUGCUGCAUGGCUGUCGUCAGCUCGUGCCGUGAGGUGUUGGGUUAAGUCCCGCAACGAGCGCAACCCCUAUCUUUAGUUGCCAGCGAGUAAUGUCGGGGACUCUAGAGAAACUGCCCGUGCAAACGGUGAGGAAGGUGGGGAUGACGUCAAGUCAGCACGGCCCUUACGUCCAGGGCUACACACGUGCUACAAUGGCGAGUACAAAGGGCAGCUACACAGUGAUGUGAUGCUAAUCUCUAAAGCUCGUCUCAGUUCGGAUUGAAGUCUGCAACUCGACUUCAUGAAGCUGGAUUCGCUAGUAAUCGUAGAUCAGCAAUGCUACGGUGAAUACGUUCCCGGGCCUUGUACACACCGCCCGUCAAGCCAUGGAAGUUGGGAGUACCUGAAGUCCAUCACCGCAAGGAGUGGCCUAGGGUAAAACCAAUGACUGGGGCUAAGUCGUAACAAGGUA
rnacentral:rRNA from 1 species